rnacentral:rRNA from 1 species
UACAGAGGGUGCGAGCGUUGUCCGGAAUCACUGGGCGUAAAGGGCGCGUAGGUGGCCUGGUAAGUAGGGGGUGAAAUCUCGCGGCUCAACUGCGAGGCUGCCUCCUAAACUGUCAGGCUCGAGCAGAGUAGAGGCAGGUGGAAUUCCCGGUGUAGUGGUGAAAUGCGUAGAUAUCGGGAGGAACACCAGUGGCGAAGGCGACUACCUGGCCUGUUCUUGACGCUGAGGCGCGAAAGCUAGGGGAGCAAACGGG